CAUGCAGGCACAUAUGCUUGCAGCAGCUCAUAUAGGAGCUGCACAAAUUUGAGCUGGGGAUUUUUGCCUCGGUACACAUGCCUGGACGUGCGCUUUGGUAUGUGGCAAGA